rnacentral:rRNA from 1 species
UACGUAGGGGGCGAGCGUUAUCCGGAAUUACUGGGCGUAAAGCGCACGCAGGCGGUUCGCCAAGUUUGGAGUGACAGUUGUCGGCUCAACCGACAAAGGACUUCAAAAACUGGUGAACUUGAGGACGAGAGAGGAACAUGGAACUUCAGGUGUAGUAGUGAAAUGCGUAGAUAUCUGGAAGAACGACCAAUGGCGAAGGCAAUGUUCUGGCUCG